rnacentral:rRNA from 1 species
UACAGAGGGUGCGAGCGUUAAUCGGAAUUACUGGGCGUAAAGCGCGCGUAGGCGGCUUUGCAAGUCGGGUGUGAAAUCCCCAGGCUUAACCUGGGAACUGCAUUCGAGACUGCAUUGCUAGAGUAUGGGAGAGGGAAGUGGAAUUUCCGGUGUAGCGGUGAAAUGCGUAGAUAUCGGAAGGAACACCGGUGGCGAAGGCGGCCUGCUGGGCAGUAGCUGACGCUGAAGCGCGACAGCGUGGGGAGCAAACAGG